AGGUUGUUGUAUCUCCAGGAUGACAGAUUCUGCCUCCUCAGCUUCUUCAGCUUCUUCAGCUGCAGGCUGUUGUAUCUCCAGGUUGACAGAUUCUGCCUCCUCAGCUUCUUCAGCUGCAGGUAUAAAAGAACAGCUUUAUAUUUCCAUCUGCCUUACCUCAGUAUGCCGGUGCCGACAUGAGAUGCCACACACUUUGGCGCCCAUCUUGAAACUCCUGUACAAGAAAAGAAAGGGCUGUGGAACACGGGGGCAUUUGUGCCCUAACAAAACCGUGGAUUUGUGAGCAAUCCGGCCUAAACACUAGAAGUACAGAAGUAGAAUGCAGUUUCCAGAGAUAAUGGCGGAUCCCCUCAUGUGUUUUACAUACAAAAUUCUACAGACUGCUUGCAACUGCCUGGUGGGGAAUCAUUGGUCAUUAUGGUUUCAAAUUUUGGGGUGGCCGGGAGUGUUCGUGUGGGAGGUGUUCAGCAAGGGCAAGAUACCAUUUGAACAUUUUUUCAACUCCGAGGCUGUGGAUAAAAUCUCAACUGGACUGAGGUUCUUCAGACCCAAGAAAUCUUCUGAAAGAGUGUACAUACUGAUGAACAACUGCUGGAAAUGAGCUGGAUGGUCAGAAGGGGGGGGGGCAUAUGGUGCUGCUGCCCGCACUUCUGCCUCCCCCCAGCGACGACCCCCAACCUGGAUCUCCGUGGGACAACGUCCUGCAGCGCCUCCAGCCCGUCCCACGUUGCAGAGGACAGAUCUGCUACCUGGAAUAUGCCAGUAAGAAGCAGAAGAAAAGAGAUAAAGCAGAAGGGAUGGAAUUGAGAUCAUAAUACAGAAGAAGACAAGACAUUUCUCGGGACACUC